rnacentral:rRNA from 1 species
GGCCUUGCGCUCUUUGAGCGGCCGAUGUCAGAUUAGCUAGUUGGUGAGGUAAAGGCUUACCAAGGCGACGAUCUGUAGCGGGUCUGAGAGGAUGAUCCGCCACACUGGAACUGAGACACGGUCCAGACUCCUACGGGAGGCAGCAGUGGGGAAUUUUGGACAAUGGGGGCAACCCUGAUCCAGCCAUGCCGCGUGAGUGAAGAAGGCCUUCGGGUUGUAAAGCUCUUUCGGCCGGGAAGAAAUCGCAUGGGCCAAUACCCUGUGUGGAUGACGGUACCGGAAUAAGAAGCACCGGCUAACUACGUGCCAGCAGCCGCGGUAAUACGUAGGGUGCGAGCGUUAAUCGGAAUUACUGGGCAUAAAGCGUGCGCAGGCGGUUUUGUAAGACAGGCGUGAAAUCCCCGGGCUUAACCUGGGAACUGCGUUUGUGACUGCAAGGCUAGAGUACGGCAGAGGGGGGUGGAAUUCCGCGUGUAGCAGUGAAAUGCGUAGAGAUGUGGAGGAACACCAAUGGCGAAGGCAGCCCCCUGGGUCGAUACUGACGCUCAUGCACGAAAGCGUGGGUAGCAAACAGGAUUAGAUACCCUGGUAGUCCACGCCCUAAACUAUGUCAACUAGGUGUUGGGUGGGUAAAACCAUUUAGUACCGUAGCUAACGCGUGAAGUUGACCGCCUGGGGAGUACGGCCGCAAGGUUAAAACUCAAAGGAAUUGACGGGGACCCGCACAAGCGGUGGAUGAUGUGGAUUAAUUCGAUGCAACGCGAAAAACCUUACCUACCCUUGACAUGCCAGGAACUUGCCAGAGAUGGCUUGGUGCCCGAAAGGGAGCCUGGACACAGGUGCUGCAUGGCUGUCGUCAGCUCGUGUCGUGAGAUGUUGGGUUAAGUCCCGCAACGAGCGCAACCCUUGUCGUUAAUCGCCAUCAUUUAGUUGGGCACUUUAACGAGACUGCCGGUGACAAACCGGAGGAAGGUGGGGAUGACGUCAAGUCCUCAUGGCCCUUAUGGGUAGGGCUUCACACGUCAUACAAUGGUCGGUACAAAGGGUUGCCAAGCCGCGAGGCGGAGCCAAUCCCAGAAAGCCGAUCGUAGUCCGGAUUGCAGGCUGCAACUCGCCUGCAUGAAGUCGGAAUCGCUAGUAAUCGUGGAUCAGCAUGUCACGGUGAAUACGUUCCCGGGUCUUGUACACACCGCCCGUCACACCAUGGGAGCGGGUUCCGCCAGAAGUAGGUAGCCUAACCGCAAGGGGGGCGCUUACCACGGCGGGGUUCGUGACUGGGGUGAAGUCGAAACAAGGUA